rnacentral:rRNA from 1 species
UAGGGAAUCUUCGGCAAUGGACGAAGGUCUGACCGAGCAACGCCGCGUGAGUGAAGAAGGUUUUCGGAUCGUAAAACUCUGUUGGUAGAGAAGAACGUUGGUGAGAGUGGAAAGCUCAUCAAGUGACGGUAACUACCCAGAAAGGGACGGCUAACUACGUGCCAG